rnacentral:rRNA from 1 species
UGCAGUCGUGCGGGAAAGGGCUUCGGCCCUAGUACCGCGGCAGACGGGUGAGUAACACGUGAGUAACCUGUCCUCGGGUCUGGGAUAACCAUCCGAAAGGAUGGCUAAUACCGGAUAAAGUCACCGGGCGCAAGCCCGGUGAUGAAAGGGGGCCUCUGCAUAGCAAGCUCCUGCCUGAGGAGGGGCUCGCGGCCCAUCAGCUAGUUGGUGGGGUAACGGCCCACCAAGGCUAUGACGGGUAGCCGGCCUGAGAGGGUGGUCGGCCACACGGGCACUGAGACACGGGCCCGACUCCUACGGGAGGCAGCAGUGGGGAAUCUUGGGCAAUGGGCGAAAGCCUGACCCAGCGACGCCGCGUGGGGGAGGAAGGCCUUCGGGUCGUAAACCCCUGUUCUGGGGGAAGAACCCUGACUGGGUUAAGAGCUCAGUCAGGCUGACGGUACCCCAGGAGAAGGCCACGGCUAACUGCGUGCCAGCAGCCGCGGUAAUACGCAGGUGGCGAGCGUUGCCCGGAAUUACUGGGCGUAAAGGGUGCGUAGGUGGCUGGACAA